GAGGAUAGUGUUUAUUAGAUACAGAACCAAUACACCAUCUGUUUAUCAGGUGGUGUAAAAAAGGUGAUUCAUAGUAACCGAACGGAUCGCAUUAUGGUCAUUUUAUAUGGCUGGCGAUAGAUCAUUCAAGUUUCUGACCUAUCAGCUUUCGACGGUAGUGUAUUGGACUACCGUGGCAGUGACGGGUAACGGGGAAUUAGGGUUCGAUUCCGGAGAGGGAGCCUGAGAAACGGCUACCACAUCUAAGGAAGGCAGCAGGCGCGCAAAUUACCCAAUCCUGACUCAGGGAGGUAGUGACAAGAAAUAACAACACUGGAAAUUUUAUUUCUAGUGAUUGGAAUGAUGGGAAUUUAAACCCCUUUCAGAGUAACAAUUGGAGGGCAAGUCUGGUGCCAGCAGCCGCGGUAAUUCCAGCUCCAAUAGCGUAUAUUAAAGUUGUUGCAGUUAAAAAGCUCGUAGUUGGAUGUCUGCUGGAAGCAAUCAGUCCGCCCUAUUUGUAGGGUGUGCACUUGAUGAAUUCUGGCAUCUAUGUCCCAAUAAUGUGGUGGUGUAUACCCUGUGUAUUACCCAUCUAUAUUGGGAUAAUACCGUUACUUUGAGAAAAUUAGAGUGUUUGAAGCAGGCUAAUUGCCUUGAAUACUGCAGCAUGGAAUAACAAUAUAGGAUUUCGGUUCUAUUUUGUUGGUUUCUAGGACUGAAAUAAUGAUUAAUAGGGACAGUUGGGGGCAUUCGU
rnacentral:rRNA from 1 species